AUCGCUUCUCGGCCUUUUGGCUAAGAUCAAGUGUAGUAUAUAGGUAUGAUUAUUAACAGAUAACUUCCAACUCAUU
rnacentral:snRNA from 1 species